UGGGGAAUAUUGCACAAUGGGCGGAAGCCUGAUGCAGCGACGCCGCGUGGGGGAUGAAGGCCUUCGGGUUGUAAACUCCUUUCGACAGGGACGAAGCUUUUGUGACGGUACCUGUAUAAGAAGCACCGGCUAACUACGUGCCAGCAGCCGCGGUAAUACGUAGGGUGCGAGCGUUGUCCGGAAUUACUGGGCGUAAAGAGCUCGUAGGUGGUUUGUCGCGUCGUCUGUGAAAUUCCGGGGCUUAACUCCGGGCGUGCAGGCGAUACGGGCUGACUUGAGUGCUGUAGGGGAGACUGGAAUUCCUGGUGUAGCGGUGAAAUGCUCAGAUAUCAGGAGGAACACCGAUGGCGAAGGCAGGUCUCUGGGCAGUAACUGACGCUGAGGAGCGAAAGCAUGGGUAGCGAACAGG
rnacentral:rRNA from 1 species